GACGAACGCUGGCGGCGUGCUUAACACAUGCAAGUCGAACGCUGAAGCUCAGCUUUUGUUGGGUGGAUGAGUGGCGAACGGGUGAGUAACACGUGAGUAACCUGCCCCCUUCUUUGGGAUAACGCCCGGAAACGGGUGCUAAUACUGGAUAUUCACUGGUCUUCGCAUGGGGGUUGGUGGAAAGGGUUUUUCUGGUGGGGGAUGGGCUCGCGGCCUAUCAGCUUGUUGGUGGGGUGAUGGCCUACCAAGGCUUUGACGGGUAGCCGGCCUGAGAGGGUGACCGGUCACAUUGGGACUGAGAUACGGCCCAGACUACUACGGGAGGCAGCAGUGGGGAAUAUUGCACAAUGGGCGAAAGACUGAUGCAGCGACGCCGCGUGAGGGAUGGAGGCCUUCGGGUUGUGAACCUCUUUCGCUCAUGGUCAAGCCGCAACAAUGGUUGUGGUGAGGGUAGUGGGUAAAGAAGCGCCGGCUAACUACGUG
rnacentral:rRNA from 1 species